CCGACACAGGUAGGCGGGGUGAGAAUCCCAAGGCGCUUGAGAGAACCCUGCUUAAGGAACUCGCAAAAUGACACCGUAGCUUCGGGAGAAGGUGUGCCCUCUGUACGUGAAGCCCCUUGCGGGUGGAGCGGAAGAGGGUUGCAGAGAAACGGGGGUAGCGACUGUUUACCAAAAACCCAGCACUGUGCGGAGUCGGAAGACGACGUAUACGGUGUGAUGCCUGCCCGGUGCCGGAAGGUUAAGGGGAGUUGUCAGCCGCAAGGCAAAGCAGCGAACCGAAGCCCCGGUAAACGGCGGCCGUAACGAUAACGGUCCUAAGGUAGCGAAAUUCCUUGUCGGGUAAGUUCCGACCUGCACGAAUGGCAUAACGACUUCCCCACUGUCUCGAGCAGGGACUCAGCGAAGUAGCACUAGGGGUGAAGAUACCCUUUACCCGCGGCAGGACGGAAAGACCCCGUGAACCUUUACUGUAACUUGGCACUGAACUUCGGGUUCGUUUGCGUAGGAUAGGUGGGACGCUAGGAAGCAUGGACUCCGGUCUGUGUGGAGCGGCCGUUGAAAUACCACCCUGACGAAUCUGGAGUUCUAACCUGCACCCGUGAGCCGGGUGGGGGACAAUGCCUGGUGGGCAGUUUGACUGGGGCGGUCGCCUCCCAAAGAGUAACGGAGGCGCGCGAAGGUUCCCUCAGGCUGAUUGGAAACCAGCCGACGAGUGUAAUGGCAUAAGGGAGCUUGACUGUAGGCUGACAAGUCGAGCAGGUGCGAAAGCAGGUCAUAGUGAUCCGGUGGUUCUGAAUGGAAGGGCCAUCGCUCAACGGAUAAAAGGUACUCCGGGGAUAACAGGCUUAUCACGCCCAAGAGUUCACAUCGACGGCGUGGUUUGGCACCUCGAUGUCGGCUCAUCGCAUCCUGGGGCUGAAGUUGGUCCCAAGGGUUUGGCUGUUCGCCAAUUAAAGCGGUACGCGAGCUGGGUUCAAAACGUCGUGAGACAGUUUGGUCCCUAUCCGCCGUGGGCGCAGGACGCUUGAGAGGAUCUGUCCUUAGUACGAGAGGACCGGGAUGGACGGACCGCUAGUGUUCCGGUUGUGGCGCCAGCUGCAAUGCCGGGUAGCUAUGUUCGGAAGGGAUAACCGCUGAAAGCAUCUAAGCGGGAAGCCCACCUCGAGAUAAGGCGUCCCUGAGACUUCGGUCUCCUGAAGACCCCAUGUAGACCACGUGGUUGAUAGGCUGGGUGUGGAAGCGCUGCAAGGCGCGGAGCUAACCAGUACUAAUCGGUCGUGAGGCUUGACCAC
rnacentral:rRNA from 1 species